rnacentral:rRNA from 1 species
CGGGUGAGUAACACGUGAUAACCUACCUAUAAGACUGGGAUAACUUCGGGAAACCGGAGCUAAUACCGGAUAAUAUUUUGAACCGCAUGGUUCAAAAGUGAAAGACGGUCUUGCUGUCACUUAUAGAUGGAUCCGCGCUGCAUUAGCUAGUUGGUAAGGUAACGGCUUACCAAGGCAACGAUGCAUAGCCGACCUGAGAGGGUGAUCGGCCACACUGGAACUGAGACACGGUCCAGACUCCUACGGGAGGCAGCAGCG